ensembl:lncRNA
UUUUUUCUCUGACAAGAACCCAAAUGAACAUAAUGAUGUCAACUCAUUGCCUUGAAUUAAUUGAUUCACCCUUCAUUUCUAACCAUCUGCACAUUAUGUUUAGGUGACAUGGAUGAGAAACAUUUCAUCAUUCUAUAAAGGGUUGAAAACUGCAUUUCCAUUUCAGAUGGAUUAUUCACUGUGAUGAAGCUAACCACUUCCUUUUGACCCCAUCUGCACCACCAUCCUCUGUUAUUAUGAGAGCAACACUGGGAAAAGUCCAAUGUUUUGUGCCCAGUGCUACUGAACACGUAUCACUGAAGAUAUCAGUAUUAUCCUUAUUAAAGAUACACAGAAUGAGGAGGAAGAGUCAGUCCUGCGUAGUGUAGGCUCUAUCAACACCAGUGCAGUCGGCAUCAGAUCCCAGUUGAAUAAAGGACAACAUAACACAAAUGAUCUUGCACUCAAUUACUUAAUUAAUGAGGAUUGCUUAAAUGAAGGAUCACAAUAUACAGUCUCUAUAUGCAAAAGCCAUCUACUGGUAUGUAUACAUGUGAUACUGUAUUACAUAAAUGUAUAGAUAAUUGUGUGGAUCCCGUAAAGCAUGAAGAGUAGCCUAUCUUAAAAGAGAAUCUAACACAAUUCAAGGGAAACUUAGCAAAGACUCUUAAACUAAACUUUCCCCCUUAUCACCAAACGUCUACACUAAAUUAUCCUCAAUUUCCAACACUUUACUGAAAAUGAGCAAAAGCAUAUUCUUAAAAUAAUUAUAUUUACUGGUGAACUUUUAUAAUUAAGUAAACAUGAGAUUUAAAGCAAAUAAAAGGUUCAAUCAUAUCACAUCAUUAUUAAUCAUUAUUAAUCAUAUUUGUCUUAACUAUUUUUUGCAUAUUUUUUUUUUUGUAUUUUUAUGUUUUUAUUACCAUUUUGUUUAUUUCUUAAAUGGUUGUAAAACAUAUUGAAAUGUACAUCCUGACUGUCUGCCUACUGUACAAAGGGAAAAUAGUUUUUAAAUAUAUUUACAGGGAAAAGAGAACAUACUAAUGCUGACAUUGAUUGAUAAUAACUCUAUUUCUUUCCUCUUCUUUCCGUUGCUUCUUCAAACCUUCUGAAUACUGGAUGACCAUCCAAAACAUGUCCAAAGAUACCCAUCCAUUUGUGAAGUAAUUCACAGGGGGUGUUGACUCAGUUUGAUUUAAGGCUAACUUGAUGGGUUUUAUCUUAAUAGUAUGGAGAGAGAAGUGGGUACUGAAUAAAUGAAUAGAUUAUCAGCAGGUCUAGGAAAACAGCUGUUGUCACUCAAUCAUUUCCCCUCCAUCUUCCAUCUCCAUAUUACAGAGUGCAGUUUGAUCAUAUUGGAAGUAGGAAUGACUCAGCGCAAUCUACUCCCUCAGCACCUUCAAUCUCCAUUCAGCACUGAAACACAAUUUCCUGCAGCCCUUGAACUCAUGACACCUCAUACUAAUUGAAGACAAACCUUUAAAUAACUGAUAGGCUCAUAUGCUGUACAAUAUCUUGUGUCAUCAGUCAGUUUCAUGUGAUAAGGCAUGUACUUCUGAAAGUCUGAACCCGGGGGGGGGAGGUUCAGUGCAAUGUACAAGUCUUAGGUUAAAAGUACUGUCAACAUCUGUCAAAGCAGACAGCGUGAGCAUUCUCAAGACAUCCUCCGUCUAACUGCCUCAGUCUGAGGAGGAAUGUCCCAUUUGGAGACAUCCUCACGACUUACAUUCACCCAUUCAUCAAUACCAUUACCAUCUUCUUUGGGCAACAACAUCUUUUAAGAGGAUUUGAGUUCAAUUUAGAAUUACAGAGCAUACGCCUGUAAUACACAUUAACAACACUCUGACUGCCGUGAAGUAAAACUGCAUUCACAAAUGCUUCUUCAACGUGUCUCAUAAGCCUGUAUGGACCUUCCUAACUUCAGAGAGUGAACGCAACGGGUUUUACGAGAUAAGUGGUGUGUUAAAAAGUGAGCCUAGGAGGCUGCUGGCUGUUUUCUAAGAACCUGAAUCCAAAAAGGGUUGAUCAAAUGCUUGUUAGAUGAGGCACAGCAGUCUGACAGUAUGUGUGGUGUUCUUUAGUAUGGACGUGUGACAGGUUUAUGAAGCACUUCCAAUGGUAUUUUAAUGUCUGUGUAAUAAUGUCCACAUCAAGUUAAGUGUUAGUUAUUCAAACAUGUUGUUCUCUUGAAACACACCACAGUCUCUCAGUCUCACAUCUGUAAAUAAUGACUUGGUUUCAGAGCAGCAGGUUUCCCCCUUCAAGACAAGGGGAUAUUGCACACAUCUUGUUCACUACGUAUCGUGCUGUUACACAACGCCCCGCUGAGCUCUCUGGGGUGCACAUCAUCUGGAGUCCUUUAAGGCUCGUCCUUCAGUCAGUAUCUUCAGCCAUCUGCUUCAUGACAAGACAUGUCUUUCACAGUUGUUGACCUGUUCAGAAACAGGGUGUGAAAUCUCUUGAAACCUCAAACAAAGAAGAACCGUUCAGUACUGUGCAAAUGAUGCCUUCCAGAUCUUUCCGUAACCAUUUUAAAAACAGCAAAUGAAUGAAUGAGCAUGGACUGUAUAUCAUUAAAACAAAAACAAGAGACCUAAUGACUUUUCACUCAGUCCUUCAGGCUUGUUAGUUGAAUUAGAUAACAAGCUUCCUGCCACCAUCGGGCAGACAAAGAAAUAACCACAAAUAUUAAACAGUAUUGAAAUAUCAAAGGAACAUAAAACAAACUUAAUGUCAUAAGCACUUCAUAAUAUCACUUUUGUUAAUCACAAUGUUAAUAACAUUAUUGUUGUUUUACCCUGUUAUUUCAGUAAGAAUAUCUUAUUUUCAUUUAUGAUUGAAUUAGCAUAACAAUAAAGAGUCAAAGGGAGGGAGCAGAAGGGAGCAGGGGGGGGUCAAAGGGACAGGGGGUGUAAGGGAGC